rnacentral:rRNA from 1 species
GACGAACGCUGGCGGCGUGCUUAACACAUGCAAGUCGAACGAAGUGGCGAACGGGUGAGUAACGCGUAAUCAACCUGCCCUUCAGAGGGGGACAACAGUUGGAAACGACUGCUAAUACCGCAUACUGAAGGGGGGGAUGGCGUCGGAUUAGCUAGUUGGGGGGGUACCGGCCCACCAAGGGGAUGAUCAGUAGCCGGUCUGGGAGGAUAACCGGCAACAUUGGGACUGAGACACGGCCCAGCCUCCUACGGGAGGAAGCAGUAGGGAAUCUUCGGCAAUGGACGAAAGUCUGACCGAGCAACGCCGCGUGAGUGAAGAAGGUUUUCGGAUCGUAAAACUCUGUUGUUAGGGAAGCGGUAUCUAACCAGAAAGCCACGGCUAACUACGUGCCAGCAGCCGCGGUAAUAC